rnacentral:rRNA from 1 species
UCGAGCGGUAGAGAGAAGCUUGCUUCUCUUGAGAGCGGCGGACGGGUGAGUAAUGCCUAGGAAUCUGCCUGGUAGUGGGGGAUAACGUUCGGAAACGGACGCUAAUACCGCAUACGUCCUACGGGAGAAAGCAGGGGACCUUCGGGCCUUGCGCUAUCAGAUGAGCCUAGGUCGGAUUAGCUAGUGGGUGGGGUAAUGGCUCACCAAGGCGACGAUCCGUAACUGGUCUGAGAGGAUGAUCAGUCACACUGGAACUGAGACACGGUCCAGACUCCUACGGGAGGCAGCAGUGGGGAAUAUUGGACAAUGGGCGAAAGCCUGAUCCAGCCAUGCCGCGUGUGUGAAGAAGGUCUUCGGAUUGUACAGCACUUUAAGUUGGGAGGAAGGGUUGUAGAUUAAUACUCUGCAAUUUGGACGUUACCGACAGAAUAAGCACCGGCUAACUCUGUG